rnacentral:rRNA from 1 species
UACGUAGGGUGCGAGCGUUAAUCGGAAUUACUGGGCGUAAAGCGCGUGUAGGCGGCUUUGCAAGUCGGGUGUGAAAGCCCUCAGCUCAACUGAGGAAGUGCGCCCGAAACUGCAGAGCUUGAGUGCCGGAGAGGGUGGCGGAAUUCCCCAAGUAGAGGUGAAAUUCGUAGAUAUGGGGAGGAACACCGGUGGCGAAGGCGGCCACCUGGACGGUAACUGACGCUGAGACGCGAAAGCGUGGGGAGCAAACAGG